rnacentral:rRNA from 1 species
UACGGGGGGAGCAAGCGUUGUUCGGAUUUACUGGGCGUAAAGGGCGCGUAGGCGGCGCGACAAGUCACUUGUGAAAUCUCCGGGCUUAACCCGGAGCGGCCAAGUGAUACUGUAGUGCUAGAGUGCGGAAGGGGCUACUGGAAUUCUCGGUGUAGCGGUGAAAUGCGUAGAUAUCGAGAGGAACACCUGCGGCGAAGGCGGGUUGCUGGGCUGAUACUGACGCUGAGGCGCGAAAGCCAGGGGAGCGAACGGG